UGGGGGGUUAAGAGGCGGUUGCGCAAGGGGCUUAGAGGCCUCUUGUGAGGAAAGUCCGGGCUCCACAGGGGAGGAUGCCGGGUAACACCCGGAGGGAGUAAUCCCUGGACAGGGCCACAGAAAAGAGACCGCCAGCGGCAGGGCCUAAUCUUUAGGCCCUGUGCGGGCAAGGGUGAAAAGGUGGGGUAAGAGCCCACCGCAGGGGAGGUAACUCUUCCUGGCAUGGUAACCCCCAUCCGGAGCAAGGCCAAAGAGGGCCAUGGGGUGCCCCGCCCCUAAAUUGGCCCGGGUAGGCCGCUUGAGGCUUAAGGGUAACCUUAAGCCCAAGAGAAAUAACCGCCCUGGGAUACCUCAAAAUCCCAGAACAGAACCCGGCUUACUUAACCCCUCACCUC
rnacentral:RNase_P_RNA from 1 species